rnacentral:rRNA from 1 species
CCUACGGGAGGCAGCAGUGGGGAAUAUUGCACAAUGGGCGAAAGCCUGAUGCAGCGACGCCGCGUGAGGGAUGACGGCCUUCGGGUUGUAAACCUCUUUCAGCAGGGAAGAAGCGAGAGUGACGGUACCUGCAGAAGAAGCGCCGGCUAACUACGUGCCAGCAGCCGCGGUAAUACGUAGGGCGCAAGCGUUGUCCGGAAUUAUUGGGCGUAAAGAGCUCGUAGGCGGCUUGUUGCGUCGGUUGUGAAAGCCCGGGGCUUAACCCCGGGUCUGCAGUCGAUACGGGCAGGCUAGAGUGUGGUAGGGGAGAUCGGAAUUCCUGGUGUAGCGGUGAAAUGCGCAGAUAUCAGGAGGAACACCGGUGGCGAAGGCGGAUCUCUGGGCCAUUACUGACGCUGAGGAGCGAAAGCGUGGGGAGCGAACAGGAUUAGAUACCCUGGUAGUCCACGCCGUAAACGUUGGGAACUAGGUGUUGGCGACAUUCCACGUCGUCGGUGCCGCAGCUAACGCAUUAAGUUCCCCGCCUGGGGAGUACGGCCGCAAGGCAAAACUCAAAGGAAUUGACGG